AAAAUUUUAUCGUCUUCUCCGAAGCCGAGCGAGCCAAAACGACGAUGCAGAGCGCCACUUCGCUUCUCUGUUUUUCAACACUUACACCUUCUUAUCACUCUCUUCUGUUUCCUUUACGUCCCAGAUUUUCUUCCAUGGUCUUACCUUCAUUGCCUUCACAAUUGCUCUUCAAGCCUCUCCAUAGUUGCCUUUAUGCCCUCUCUUCUCUACGCAGCACCGCUACUCAAGAGAUUGUUCAAACUGCUAAUAGUGGAGCAGGAAUCGUUGAAGUUGGGUAUAUAUCCAGUGUUCAUGGGCUUCAAGGGGAGAUAUGCGUUAAACCCAGUACUGAUGUUCCCGAACUACGAUUUUCCAAGCCUGGGAAAAGAUGGCUCAGUCGGUUUCUGGCAAAGAUAUGAUUCAAGAAGUUGAGCUGGUUGAGUGAAGAGGGCACCCUGGACUGAAGAGGUGGGGUAAUUGACACAGUGGAACAGGCCAGGCAACUUGUUGGGUCGACUCUUCCAGUUGGAGAAGAAGAUAGGCCAGAGUUGGAAGGAGAAUUUUGCACUCGUGAUCUCGUUGGCUUGAGAGUGAUUCUUAAGUUUUGAACAUUUUAAGGCAUCAUAUCUUGUAUUCAGCUAAGCAAAUUUAUUUUACUUUGUGCUUUUAAAUAUCUGAAACUCCUUAAAUUUAUGAUUUAUACUUGCACUCAUUUUUUAUUUGGGAUGCAAAGAACUUAUACUGUGCGGUAUUUGAAGACCACUGUCUUUAUUCUUCUCUUGUUACUUAACAGUCUCAGUUGCCAUUUUCAUGCACAGCUAUUAAUGUAUUCUGGUUAUCAGUGGUUUACAUUCUGCUUCUCUUCUUCUUAAAUAAAGAAACUGGUGACUGUGUGGGAACUGCCCUUAAUGUUUUUGACAGUGGAGCAAGUGAUCUUUUACAGGUCAUGCUCUACCCAUCUGUAGAUGUGCUUGAGGGAGCUGAGAGGUCAAUGCAAGCAGAAACAGGUCCAUCUGGUUCCCUUGUGUAGGCACCAUUUGUUGAAGCUAUUGUUCCGGAUGUUGAUAUGACUAGAAGAGAAAUGUGGAUUACACCUCCAAAAGGACUUCUUGAGUUAAACAUAUGCUCUGAUGAGAGGUCUAAGAAAGAAAGACGCCAUCUUGAGUGGAAAGAAAGGAAAAAGUUGCAAAGAUGCCUUAUAUAAGCGAAAAAGAAAUUUUUUGAAAUGGAACAAAACAUGUGUUUGAUGGAUUAAGAUAUGGGGAAAAAUCACAAAGGAGCUUACUGGCAGAUCAGAUUGUUGGUGUAAAUUCUAAAUUGCUUCAACGGGCAUUGCAAAAUAUAGAGAUGCCCUCCAAGAGGUAUUUUUUAAAAUUUAAUAAAUGUGUAUUUCUUGACAUUUUGAUUCCUAGAGGAGUUGGAGAAAAUGUGAAUGCAGUUGUUUGACCUUUCGAUCUGAUGCUGUUUUGAACCUGUUGAAAUAAACUUGUUCUGUAAAGCAUUGAACUUGUAACCUUCGUCCGUGAUGUUGAAAUGUAGAAAAAAUAUGAUGCCCCUGGUUUCAAUAUGUGUUGCAUACAUAAAUGCUUUUUUUUGAAGUGGGAGCUUAAAAGAAAAAAAAAAGAAACUUUUUCUUAAAAACAGCUGGUCUUAUUGUCUCAUUUGUUCUACGGUGGAUAUGAAGAAUAUGGAAGGUGGUGAGAUCUUUUUUAUUUGAUCCCAUAUAGCUAAUGCUUACUUAUUCAUCCUUUUUGGUGGUUUGGGUG